rnacentral:rRNA from 1 species
AGGUGUUGUUGGGUAGGGGAGCGUUCUGUAAGCCUGUGAAGGUGGCCUGUGAGGGUUGCUGGAGGUAUCAGAAGUGCGAAUGCUGACAUAAGUAACGAUAAAGCGGGUGAAAAGCCCGCUCGCCGGAAGACCAAGGGUUCCUGUCCAACGUUAAUCGGGGCAGGGUGAGUCGACCCCUAAGGCGAGGCCGAAAGGCGUAGUCGAUGGGAAACGGGUUAAUAUUCCCGUACUUGGUGUUACUGCGAAGGGGGGACGGAGAAGGCUAUGUUGGCCGGGCGACGGUUGUCCCGGUUUAAGCGUGUAGGUGUGUGUUCCAGGUAAAUCCGGUUCACUUUAACACUGAGGCGUGACGACGAGGCACUACGGUGCUGAAGCAACAAAUGCCCUGCUUCCAGGAAAAGCCUCUAAGCAUCAGGUAACAUCAAAUCGUACCCCAAACCGACACAGGUGGUCAGGUAGAGAAUACCAAGGCGCUUGAGAGAACUCGGGUGAAGGAACUAGGCAAAAUGGUGCCGUAACUUCGGGAGAAGGCACGCUGACACGUAGGUGAAGUGAUUUACUCAUGGAGCUGAAGUCAGUCGAAGAUACCAGCUGGCUGCAACUGUUUAUUAAAAACACAGCACUGUGCAAACACGAAAGUGGACGUAUACGGUGUGACGCCUGCCCGGUGCCGGAAGGUUAAUUGAUGGGGUCAGCGCAAGCGAAGCUCCUGAUCGAAGCCCCGGUAAACGGCGGCCGUAACUAUAACGGUCCUAAGGUAGCGAAAUUCCUUGUCGGGUAAGUUCCGACCUGCACGAAUGGCGUAAUGAUGGCCAGGCUGUCUCCACCCGAGACUCAGUGAAAUUGAACUCGCUGUGAAGAUGCAGUGUACCCGCGGCAAGACGGAAAGACCCCGUGAACCUUUACUAUAGCUUGACACUGAACAUUGAGCCUUGAUGUGUAG